AUUGAACGCUGGCGGCAGGCUUAACACAUGCAAGUCGAGCGAGCGGCGGACGGGUGAGUAAUGUCUGGGAAACUGCCUGAUGGAGGGGGAUAACUACUGGAAACGGUAGCUAAUACCGCAUACCAUCAGAUGAACCCAUAUGGGAUUAGCUGGUAGGUAAGGUAACGGCUUACCUAGGCGACGAUCCCUAGCUGGUCUGAGAGGAUGACCAGCCACACUGGGACUGAGACACGGCCAAGACUCCUACGGGAGGCAGCAGUGGGGAAUAUUGCACAAUGGGCGCAAGCCUGAUGCAGCCAUGCCGCGUGUAUGAAGAAGGCCUUAGGGUUGUAAAGUACGUUCAGCGGGGAGGCGUUACCCGCAGAAGAAGCACCGGCUAACUCCGUGCCAGCAGCCGCGGUAAUUC
rnacentral:rRNA from 1 species